CGCGUGAGAAUCUACCUUUUGGACGGAGAUAACAGAAGGAAACUUCUGCUAAUCCCCGAUGAGCUAGCUUGCUAGUAAAAGAUUUAUCGCCAAGAGAUGAGCUCGCGUCCGAUUAGCUAGUUGGUGGAUUAAAAGUUUACCAAGGCGACGAUCGGUAGCUGGUCUGAGAGGACAAUCAGCCACACUGGGACUGAGACACGGCCCAGACUCCUACGGGAGGCAGCAGUGGGGAAUUUUCCGCAAUGGGCGAAAGCCUGACGGAGCAAGACCGCGUGGGGGAGGAAUGCCUUAGGGUUGUAA
rnacentral:rRNA from 1 species